rnacentral:lncRNA from 1 species
AUAGUUCUAGCGAUUGGAUUUCACCCAAAACCCACCAAAUGACUUCUCCACAACAUUAUGAUGCUCCCCAAAUUUUGGACUCUAUCCGAAAUCGACUGGUCCAUGACGUUGGAUAAUUCAAGUUCGUACGAAAUUCGUUCUGAGAUGGAGUGGUUGGUGUAUUGCAUAGUUUUAGAGAUUGGAUUUCACUCAAAACCCACCAAAUGACUCGUCC